rnacentral:rRNA from 1 species
AACGAACGCUGGCGGCAGGCCUAACACAUGCAAGUCGAACGAAGCUAUAACCUUCGGGUUAUAGACUGAGUGGCGAACGGGUGCGUAACACGUGGGAAUUUACCUUAUAGUGGGGGAUAACUUUUGGAAACGGAAGCUAAUACCGCAUACGCCCUUUGGGGGAAAGAUUUAUCGCUAUAAGAUGAGCCCGCGCUGGAUUAGGUAGUUGGUAGGGUAAAAGCCUACCAAGCCGAUGAUCCAUAGCUGGUUUGAGAGGAUGACCAGCCACACUGGGACUGAGACACGGCCCAG